rnacentral:lncRNA from 1 species
AGAUCUGAGAGAGUUAAAGAAGCUGCUGGAAGAAGAGCGAGACCAAAGGCUGACCGCUGAGAAUGCACUCUCCCUGGCCAAGGAGCAGAUCAGACGGUAAGGCGUGCGGCGGCCCCUCCUGCUCACACCUCAGCCUCCUGGCCUUGCUGCUGCCCCUUUCUGUGGCCAGGCUCAGGGUGAGUUGACAUGGUCAACUCAGUGCCCUUGACAUGCUCAGAUGAUGAUUUCAUUAUAUCGUCAAAAAGCAGGGCACUCCUGGAGUUUCAGAGGCCUGUGCCUUCCUGGUUGAUAGCUCCUAGAGGUUGGUAAUAUGUUUACCAUUCAUAUUAUACAAGGAAGCUGUGAAAGGUGUCUCACUUUAGCCCAACAACUAUGUGAGUACAUGUUGGGUUCUUGUGUGUCUGUGUCUUUGUGUCAUGUGGGGAGCAGGGAGACAGUGUCCGAGAUCAUUAGAUGUCUUGGCUUAUUAUCACUCUCUAUUUUAUUCCCUUGAGACACAGUCUCUCAUUGAGCCUGAUAGUUGCCUUUGUUAGUGACCAGCGAGCCUUUAGCCAUCCCCCUGCCUCCAUAGUGCUGGGGUUGCAGGUGUGCACAGUCAGGCCAGCUUCUACAUGGGUGCUGAGGAGCUCAGUGCAUAUCGUCAUGCUUGUAAUACAAGCACUGUUACCCACUGGGCCAUCUCCAGGGCCCUAGUGUCAGAUUCUUUAAAGAAUCGAAUAAAUGCAUUCUCAUUACCUUAUAUACCUGAUACCCAGACGUUUGUUUGUUUGUUUGUUAGUUUUGAGACACAGUCUCUCUGUGUAGCUCUGGCUGGCCUAAAUCUCAGUUUGUAGACUAGGCUGGUUUUGAACUCACAGAGAUCUACCUGCCUCUGCCUCUGCCUCCCGAGUGCUAUGAUUAAAGGACUGAGGCAGCAAACAUAGCCAACUGAAGUUUUACAGAAUGUAACCUAAGGAAGAAUAAAAGGCCCCUUAAGAAACAGUAUGUGACUGAUUUAUGAGCGAACACACUGCCUAAGCCUGACCUUCCCCUGCCAGUGACAGGUUUGCUGGUACCUUCGUUGUGUCUGCAAGAGCAAGCCACUGUGUCUGAUGCCUCUCCUCAGAACACAUGGUGGUGCCCUCCCCAGGGAGCAGGUCUUAGCUGAGAUUUCUUGUUUUCCUAUCCAGUAUAUUCACAGCUGUUGUGUUUUCAACACCUGUGUAAGUAGCUUUGAGCAUGGGCUCUGCAGGAGCACAGUGCAGCAUGGUGUAGUGGCCUUGCAAAGAUUUCCAGGCCUAUUUGUUCAUGGCCAUUUCUAGGCCACUUACGAAAUUGUUUAGAUCUAUGAUACCUGGCCCCUGAGGUUAAUCCCCUCAUCUGGACAACUUGAGACAGCUUAGUCAGGAUGACUCUGGAGCCUGUGUCUGGACCACGUCAAUUAAGGUUAGCCCCUCCCACUUUCCUUCUGGUGGAGAUCGGAAGGAGAGCCAGGUGACAAACUGAGGAUAGGCCACCAAGACCCAGUUCAGAUCAAGGCAUUUCCUCUCUGCUGAAGAAGAGAGUGGCCCCCAGACAGAGGUCGUAUUCAGCUGAUAGAGUCCCUGUGGGGACGAGACACUCACAGUGAAGACGUGUGGUUUGGGGCUGAUGAGUGAUGAGCUGUGGCCUUGCCCUGUUGUCCUCGGAGGCCACUAAGCGAUGGCAGUGUCUCGUUAAGGGAAAAUUUCCAAAAUGAAGUAAUAAGCAAAUCAACAGAAAGUAAAACAGGAAGCUGCCAAGGCCUCUAAGAGCCCUAAAGAAUUUCUUGAGUGCUUUUGCCUAGUAUAAGUUUAAAAAAAGG